rnacentral:rRNA from 1 species
AUGGGCAAGGGCUGGGCCGUCACCCCCCUUGGUGGCACGCCGUAUCUUGAUCUGGAUACGGUGAUAAGUGAGCAAGGGUCUUCGCAUUUGACUCAAAGGGCAAGGAAGCUAGCCGAGCCUAGGAGGAUCCGCAUAGGUAGUUGGAAUGUAGGGUCCCUGACGGGUAAGUUACGGGAGUUAGUUGAUGCAGCGGUGAGGAGAGGUGUUGAUAUCCUUUGCGUCCAAGAAACCAAAUGGAAGGGACGGAAGGCGAAGGUGGAGGAUACCGGCUUCAAGCUGUGCUACACGGGGACAACUACCAACAGAAAUGGAGUAGGCAUCUUGAUCAACAAGAGCCUUAGGUGUGGAGCGGUAGAUGUCAAGAGGCAAGGAGACCGGAUUAUCCUAAUCAAGUUGGUUGUUGGGGACUUAAUCCUCAAAGUUGUCAGCGCGCAUGCCCUGAAAGUAGGCCACAAUGAGAGCACCAAGAGGGAGUUCUGA